GUCCUUUAGAAUUUAAUUUAAGGUCUGACCUGCCCAGUGAUUAAUUUAACGGCCGCGGUACACUGACCGUGCAAAGGUAGCAUAAUCAUUAGUCUUUUAAUAGGGGGCUGGAAUGAAAGGUUUAACGAGGGACUGACUGUCUUAUUUUAUUUGUUUUAAAAUUUAAUUUUUUAGUUAAAAAGCUAAAAUACUGUUGGUAGACGAGAAGACCCUAUAGAUCUUUAUAUAUUUUUAUUUAAUUAUUUUUAUAUUAAUAUUUUUAUAUAGAAAUGUAUUUUGUUGGGGUGACAAAAAUAUACAAAUAACUUUUUUAUUUUAUUAACAUUGAUUUAUGAAUAUAUGAUCCAAUACUAUUGAUUAUUAGAUUAAGUUACCUUAGGGAUAACAGCGUAAUUUUCUCCCAGAGUUCAUAUUUACGGGAAAGUUUGCGACCUCGAUGUUGGAUUAAGAUGAUAAUUAGGUGUAGCCGCUUAAUGUAUAGGUCUGUUCGACCUUUAAAUUCUU
rnacentral:rRNA from 1 species